rnacentral:rRNA from 1 species
UACGUAGGGUGCGAGCGUUAAUCGGAAUUACUGGGCGUAAAGCGUGCGCAGGCGGUUUUGUAAGCCAGAUGUGAAAUCCCCGGGCUUAACCUGGGAAUGGCAUUUGGGACUGCAAGGCUGGAGUGUGGCAGAGGAGACUGGAAUUCCUGGUGUAGCAGUGAAAUGCGUAGAUAUCAGGAGGAACACCGGUGGCGAAGGCGGGUCUCUGGGCCGUAACUGACGCUGAGGAGCGAAAGCGUGGGGAGCGAACAGG